AGAAAGAAGAGAGAAACCGGAGCGAGAGGAGGAGAAGAAGAAGAAGGAGAGGAGGAGGAGGAAGAGAUGUGGGAGGAAAAAGGAUCUCAGCAAACCAAACUCUUUCCCUCUUCCCUCCUCCCUCCAGCAAAGGGGCGAGGCCAGCCCGGCUGAUUUGCAUACUGAGCGCGCUUUGGUCAGCCCAGCAUGCCGAACUCUAUUGGCCAUGAAUCAUCGACUGCCUGGGCGACAUAGAGAAAACGAAUCCUGUAAGAGGAGCCAAGACCGGAAAUCCGAAUGUCCUCCCAGGCAUUAAUUCCAACAUUUAAUCAAGAUCUGAUUACCAAGAAGCAAGAUGGGAUAUAAAAAUUCAAUAAAGGCUUUAAAAACUUUUCACUCUCA